UUACAAACCAAGAGGUGUUUUGAACACCAAGGACUGCUAAUUCUAGACACUGAAGUUAAAAUCCUC
rnacentral:tRNA from 1 species